rnacentral:rRNA from 1 species
UACGAAGGGGGCUAGCGUUGUUCGGAAUUACUGGGCGUAAAGCGCGUGUAGGCGGGGCUUUAAGUCAGGGGGGAAAUGCCAAGGCUCAACCUUGGAACUGCCUUUGAUACUGGAGAUCUUGAGUCCGAGAGAGGUGAGUGGAAUUGCGAGUGUAGAGGUGAAAUUCGUAGAUAUUCGCAAGAACACCAGUGGCGAAGGCGGCUCACUGGCUCGGAACUGACGCUGAGACGCGAAAGCGUGGGGAGCGAACGGG